AUUUAGAGCAGUCACAUUUGAAA
rnacentral:snRNA from 1 species